rnacentral:misc_RNA from 1 species
GAUGAAGAACGUAGCGAAAUGCGAUAAGUAAUGUGAAUUGCAGAAUUCAGUGAAUCAUCGAAUCUUUGAACGCACCUUGCGCCUUUUGGUAUUCCGAAAGGCACACCUGUUUGAGCGUCAUGAAUACCUCAAUCUCCAUCUUUUCUUCGGAUUGAUGGGUGACUUGGAUGUUGAGCCCUGCUGGUAUGCUAUAUCAGCUGGCUUUAAACUUAUUAGCCGGGUCUGUACUGGAUCGGUUUGACUCGACGUGAUAAUAUUAUCGUUGAGGAUGCAUGUCUCAUGCAGCCGGAAAGUAUCAAAGCAGCUUCUAGCUUGCCUUUAGUGCACUUUUACAUUUUAGACCUCAGAUCAGGUGGGACUACCCGCUGAACUUAAGCAUAUCAUAAGCGGAGGA